rnacentral:tRNA from 1 species
CUGGGUGUACGCCAAUUGGUAGACGGCGUGAUUUGGGGUCACGAGGCUGUGGGUUCGAGUCCCACCACUCAGACCA